AGUGAACGCUGGCGGUAGGCCUAACACAUGCAAGUCGAACGGCCGCACAGUAAGCGCUUGCUCUUACGGGUGGCGAGUGGCGGACGGGUGAGGAAUACAUCGGCAUCUACUUUUUCGUGGGGGAUAACGUAGGGAAACUUACGCUAAUACCUCAUACGACCUACGGGUGAAAUCAGGGGAUCUUCGGACCUUGCGCGAUUGAAUGAGCCGAUGUCGGAUUAGCUAGUUGGCGGGGUAAAGGCCCACCAAGGCGACGAUGCGUAGCUGGUCUGAGAGGAUGAUCAGCCACACUGGAACUGAGACACGGUCCAGACUCCUACGGGAGGCAGCAGUGGGGAAUAUUGGACAAUGGGCGAAAGCCUGAUCCAGCCAUACCGCGUGGGUGAAGAAGGCCUUCGGGUUGUAAAGCCCUGUUGUUGGGAAAGAAAAGCAGCAGGUGAAUACCCCGCUGUUCUGACGGUACCCAAAGAAUAAGCACCGGCUAACUUCGUG
rnacentral:rRNA from 1 species